GCUAUAAUCUUAUAAUAAUAUUUUUAGCAAAAUUCAAGAAAGAGAAAUUCAACAUUCAUUCAUCUGGAAUCUCAACUUUCGUAUGCACACUAGGAGGAAAGAGGAACGCGAACCGUAUAUCACAAACAACAAAUUUAAAACUCGCGAAAAUUUGAACAAUCGAUUCACCAAUUUCAAACCCCUUUCGGCUUAAUUGGGAAAUCCUAGAAAACACUUCUCAGUCGAUUCAUAUGCGAUUCCUUUUGUUGUUGGAAUUUGUCGUCAAUCGCAAACAGUCCCUUCUAAAUUUCAAAACCUUCGUUAAUUGAUUCUAUUUUUCGAGUGUUUGAGUCUCAAGGUGUUUAUACUCAUCUCUAAUCAAAGCAGAGUUUUGGGGUUUUCAUUUGAGAUUGCAUUCGGUGUCAAAAUUGAGCUAGGGUUUUGUUUGACUAUGGCGUGAUCUCUUUGGUAAACCGAAUUCAAGACAUUUUCUCCUACGUCAGAAGCCAAUCCGCUAUCAACCUACCUCAAGUCGCGGUUGCCGACAUUCAGAGAAGCAGAAAGUCUAGCGUUCUUGAAGCUCUCGUUAGCUCUCGUAAGCGAAUGCCAAAGAAAAGAGAAUAAUUCACCAAAGAAAAGAGAAUAAUUCACACACGCAGCUUUCAAUGUUCCAUCAACACUACUACAAUAGUCACUGGUUGAAACUAAUAGUGAAGCAUGAGAAAACAAGGGCGUCUUAGACAGGCAGAUUUGUUUGAAGAUUGUUUCACCACAUGCUCUGGACAUGACACUUGUAGAUCUCCCAGGUAUUACAAAGAUUCUUGUUUGCGACCAGCCUUCUGGUAUUGAAGCCCGAAUCAAAAUAAUGAUCAUGUCAUAUAUCAAAGAGCCCUCCUGUCUUAUUCUAGUUGUCACACCGGCAAAUUCAGACUUGGCUAAUUUAGAUGCUCUUCAGAUGGCAGGAGUGGCUGAUCCCGAGGGUAAUAGAACGAUCGGUGUAAUCACAAAGGUUCAAUAUACUCUUCUAACAUUAUAUUAUAUGGAUAUCUUUGUGGAUUUUGUUAUAUGCUGUUAAGUCAUUCUGACAGUGUUAGGCACAAAUUUUUUUGCUAUGAAGUUGGAUAUCAUUGACAGAGAUACCGAUGUCAGAAAUCUGUUACAGGGAAAAGUUAUCAUACUGCAACGAAGGUGUUGUUUGACUAAUUUAACUAUCGCAUAUAUUCUGUUAAAUUUUUUUCUUUUCUAUAUACAUGCAAUAUGGAAGGACACUUUGCAAACAAAUAUGCAUAUGCUAAUUGCUUGGGGAUUUUUUUAUUUGGGGAUUUUUUUUUCUUUUCUAUAUACAGGUCAAUGUGUUAUACUGAAAUAUGGUUUCUCUUGUCUGGUAAAAUUAGGAUAUUCAAGCUUAGGUGUGGGGCUUAUACUCGAUCGAACCUCAGCUGACAGUAAAAGGGAAAGAGCUGUGGAAUAAUCUUCGUUCAGUAUUGCAGGGUGUUCAUUUGGUUCAGCUGUGGUGUGAUUUUCGUUUAGGAAUGAUGUUCGUUCAGUAUUGGAGGGUUGUUAAAUCAAGCUUUUAGGGUGUUAUACUUUUUUUUUCUUAAUUUAGUUCAAUAUCAAAAACUAAUGUUUGUACUAAGACAAAAUGAAGGUUAUUGAUAUAAUAAAAAAUGCGAAUUUUUUU